ensembl:lncRNA
GAGAGAACAGAUGGACAGUUAAGUGUUUGUGUUUGCACAUGUGUGUUUAUGUGGCCUUGCGUGUGUGUUUAUGUGGCCGUGUGUGUGUGUGGCCGUGUGUGUGUGUGUCUGACUGGUUGUGACAUUAGCAGAGGUGGCCAGAGCACUCCAGCCUUCAGCUCUGAUCCUCAGCCAUUCAGUCCCAUUCAAAUUCAAAUACUUCCGGCUUCAUGCGCCAUCUGGAGAUUUCCAUAGGAACACAUGGAUGACGUCAGCGCUGUCACUAUCUACUGGUUUUAAUGUCUAUGCAAGGAUCAGGGAAGGUUAAAGCGUAUCCUAGAUGUGUACCUAGGGGUGUCUUCCACCAGACUGCUGGUCUGUGGGACUGCUCUGGUUCAGUUCCCCCCCAGUCAUAGUGACACAGGCAUGGAGAGGCCAGCUUGUGUUUCCCUGUAGCUGGGUCUGGUGUUACUGGGCCUGGGUAGAGGUGGAGGAUAGGAUGGUAGCUGGGUCUGGUGUUACUGGUUCUGGGUUGAGGUGGAGGAUAGGAUGGUAGCUGGGUCUGGUUACUGGGUCUGGGUAGAGGUGGAGGAUAGGAUGGUAGCUGGGUCUGGUUACUGGGUCUGGGUAGAGGUGGAGGAUAGGAUGGUAGCUGGGUCUGGUUACUGGGUCUGGGUAGAGGUGGAGGAUAGGAUAGGAUGGUAGCUGGGUCUGGUUACUGGGCCUGGGUGGAGGAUAGGAUGGUAGCUGGGUCUGGGGAGAGGUGGAGGAUAGGAUGGUUACUGGGUCUGGGUAGAGGUGGAGGAUAGGAUGGUUACUGGGUCUGGGUAGAGGUGGAGGAUAGGAUGGUUACUGGGUCUGGGUGGAGGAUAGGAUGGUUACUGGGCCUGGGUGGAGGAUAGGAUGGUAGCUGGGUCUGGGUAGAGGUGGAGGAUAGGAUGGUAAACAGAGGCCUGACUUGGCAGACAUGUUUAUGUCUGUGUUGCCAUCUGUGACUGUGUGUGUGUGUUCUGUAUGUGUUCUCUGUGUGUGUGUUUGUUCUGUAUGUUUGUGUUCUGUUUGUGUUCUGUAUGUGUGUGUGUGUGUUCCGUGUGUGUGUUGUGUGUAUGUUCCGUGUGUGUGUUGUGUGUAUGUUCCGUGUGUGUGUGUGUGUUCUCUGCAGUCUGUGUCUCCGGUG